CUCUGCUUCUUGCUGAGGACAGAAUACUGAGCUUGUGACAUCACAAUCAUUCCUAUGGCAACAAGCCGAUGUCAUCAAGACAGGAUUGAGCUUAUAGCAGGUUCAGGCAGAGGAGAAGCCCGGGGCAAAGGAAGCCCUUCUUUAAAGGCAAGAUCUGCCCAGGCAAUAUGGGAUGAGAGCGGCAGCGAAUGUUCCUGGUUGUAUAACAAGUUCUUGGUCUGUAUUUGCUCCAGCAGAAAAGGACACCUCCCCAUCUUCAACACCGCCUCAGAGACUGCCAAGCAACAGGGAUUUCCCUUUAAAACUCUCUCUGGCUGAAGGGAAAGGCAAAAAGGGAUGCUGUACAGUGGCAGCCUGACUUCAUACUUUAUACUGCAAAGGCUGUAACAGUGUUUCCUUCUUUUUUGUAUCUUUAAUAAAAGCUUUCAAGGAUUUUUAAUGGAUGAGACAGUCCUG